GUAGGGCGCGAGCGUUGUCCGGAAUUAUUGGGCGUAAAGAGCUCGUAGGCGGCUGGUCGCGUCUGUCGUGAAAUCCUCUGGCUUAACUGGGGGCUUGCGGUGGGUACGGGCCGGCUUGAGUGCGGCAGGGGAGACUGGAACUCCUGGUGUAGCGGUGGAAUGCGCAGAUAUCAGGAAGAACACCGGUGGCGAAGGCGGGUCUCUGGGCCGUUACUGACGCUGAGGAGCGAAAGCGUGGGGAGCGAACAGGAUUAGAUACCCUGGUAGUCCACGCCGUAAACGUUGGGCACUAGGUGUGGGGGGCCUUUUCCCGGUCUUCCGCGCCGUAGCUAACGCAUUAAGUGCCCCGCCUGGGGAGU
rnacentral:rRNA from 1 species